rnacentral:rRNA from 1 species
UACGUAGGGUCCGAGCGUUGUCCGGAAUUAUUGGGCGUAAAGGGCUCGUAGGCGGUUUGUCGCGUCGGGAGUGAAAACACCGGGCUUAACUCGGUGCUUGCUUUCGAUACGGGCGGACUGGAGGUAUGCAGGGGAGAACGGAAUUCCUGGUGUAGCGGUGAAAUGCGCAGAUAUCAGGAGGAACACCGGUGGCGAAGGCGGUUCUCUGGGCAUUACCUGACGCUCAGGUGCGAAAGCUAGGGGAGCGAACAGG